CUGAUAGGUUGUUUUGUUUUUAAGGGUAUUUUCACACAGCGUAUCCGAGUCUGUUGGACCCCAAAGUCCACUUAAUUUUAUCCAUGUGAAUGUAACAGUUCUGUGCUCCAGUACUGUACCCGAGUCCAGUUGAGAAGGUAGUCCUGGUUACAGACUAUGUGGACUCCAGUGCAGGACGCUGCUGUGUGAAAGUGAUCCGUGGCCGAGACCGGAAGUGAGCUAAUCACCACCAGACCAUAGACGGCACUCCGGUUGACUCCUGAAAAACCCUCGGAUCCGUGCAGCACAGGUUCACCUUACCAACCGAACCA